rnacentral:rRNA from 1 species
AUUGAACGCUGGCGGCAGGCCUAACACAUGCAAGUCGAACGGUAACAGGAAGAAGCUUGCUUCUUUGCUGACGAGUGGCGGACGGGUGAGUAAUGUCUGGGAAACUGCCUGAUGGAGGGGGAUAACUACUGGAAACGGUAGCUAAUACCGCAUAACGUCGCAAGCCCAAAGAGGGGGACCUUCGGGCCUCUUGCCAUCGGAUGUGCCCAGAUGGGAUUAGCUAGUAGGUGGGGUAACGGCUCACCUAGGCGACGAUCCCUAGCUGGUCUGAGAGGAUGACCAGCCACACUGGAAAUGAGACACGGUCCAGACUCCUACGGGAGGCAGCAGUGGGGAAUAUUGCACAAUGGGCGCAAGCCUGAUGCAGCCAUGCCGCGUGUAUGAAGAAGGCCUUCGGGUUGUAAAGUACUUUCAGCGGGGAGGAAGGGAGUAAAGUUAAUACCUUUGCUCAUUGACGUUACCCGCAGAAGAAGCACCGGCUAACUCCGUG